AGCAAAGAUGCGAGAAGGAAAAUGGAGAGGAUUGGAAUAAGAUUUCUCACAUCCCAUAUCUUAUCAUAAGUUGAACUACUGCAUACGCUUCCCUAGGAUAUUUUGAAGUGCAAAGCAAAUUUUUGAAAGGGUGCCAGCAGGAAACAAGGGAUGAUUGCUAAAAACUUCUCACAUCCUAGAGAUAUUUUGAAGAGCAAAGCAAAUUUUUGAAAGGGUGCCUGCAGGAAACAAGGGACAAUUGGUAAAAACACCUCACAUCUAAGGUAUGUGCUUAACUGUUUAUUCUAUGCUUUCUUUUUAUGAUGAGAAACAUCUCAAUUGAUCUCAUAUGCUGAACCAAUUGAGGCAUAGGAAAACAUAGGUGUCAGAAUUGGUGAUUAUGAACGUCUUACUGCCAUGGCGUUUAAAUUACAUGGAUUGUGCUUUGUUGUGUUUUCUUUAAAGUAAAUGCAUAAAUACAUUGUUGGUUUCCAAUUGUUUCUGAUGGUGUGGGAGUUUUGAAGUUAUUUUCUGAAUCUCUCUACUGCAUUUGGUGUCAUUUGAUUGAUUGAUAUGUUAUUUAGAGUAUGAUUCUUUUUUAAAUAUCAU